CCUACGGGAGGCAGCAGUGGGGAAUAUUGCACAAUGGGGGAAACCCUGAUGCCGCGACGCCGCGUGCGCGAUGAAGUAUUUCGGUAUUUAAAGCUCUAUCAGCAGGGAAGAAAAUUACGGUACCUGACUAAGAAUCCCCGGCUAACUACGUGCCAGCAGCCGCCGUAAGACGUAGGGGGCAAGCGUUAUCCGGAUUUACUGGGUGUAAAGGGAGCGUAGACGGUCCUGCAAGCCAGAUGUGAAAGCCCGGGGCUCAACCCCGGGACUGCAUUUGGAACUGUAAGGCUAGAGUGUCGGAGAGGCAGGCGGAAUUCCUAGUGUAGCGGUGAAAUGCGUAGAUAUUAGGAGGAACACCAGUGGCGAAGGCGGCAUGCUGGACGAUGACUGACGUUGAGGCUCGAAAGCGUGGGGAGCAAACAGGAUUAGAUACCCUUGUAGUC
rnacentral:rRNA from 1 species